GGAAUCCUUUGGAAGUCCUGUCUUGCUGACAGAUAGGUCCCUUUGGAACAGAUUGGAGGUCUUCUCCCCACAGCAGAGGAAAAACAACAACAGCAACAACAAUACAAAAUGACAACAGAAAAAGCAAGGUCUCCCUAUCCUUGGGGCACAACAAUAUUGAAAUAUGUACCAAUUAAUAACCCUACAAUGGUCUCACAUGUUCAAGUAGAAUAAAAGAGAC
rnacentral:lncRNA from 1 species